rnacentral:tRNA from 1 species
UCCUCUGUAGCUCAGCGGUAGAGUACGGGACUGUUAAUCCUAUGGUCACUGGUUCGAAUCCAGUCAGGGGAGCCA